rnacentral:rRNA from 1 species
GAUGAACGCUGGCGGCGUGCCUAAUACAUGCAAGUCGAGCGAACGGACGAGAAGCUUGCUUCUCUGAUGUUAGCGGCGGACGGGUGAGUAACACGUGGAUAACCUACCUAUAAGACUGGGAUAACUUCGGGAAACCGGAGCUAAUACCGGAUGAUAUUUUGAACCGCAUGGUUCAAAAGUGAAAGACGGUCUUGCUGUCACUUAUAGAUGGAUCCGCGCUGCAUUAGCUAGUUGGUAAGGUAACGGCUUACCAAGGCAACGAUGCAUAGCCGACCUGAGAGGGUGAUCGGCCACACUGGAACUGAGACACGGUCCAGACUCCUACGGGAGGCAGCAGUAGGGAAUCUUCCGCAAUGGGCGAAAGCCUGACGGAGCAACGCCGCGUGAGUGAUGAAGGUCUUCGGAUCGUAAAACUCUGUUAUUAGGGAAGAACAUAUGUGUAAGUAACUGUGCACAUCUUGACGGUACCUAAUCAGAAAGCCACGGCUAACUACGUGCCAGCAGCCGCGGUAAUACGUAGGUGGCAAGCGUUAUCCGGAAUUAUUGGGCGUAAAGCGCGCGUAGGCGGUUUUUUAAGUCUGAUGUGAAAGCCCACGGCUCAACCGUGGAGGGUCAUUGGAAACUGGAAAACUUGAGUGCAGAAGAGGAAAGUGGAAUUCCAUGUGUAGCGGUGAAAUGCGCAGAGAUAUGGAGGAACACCAGUGGCGAAGGCGACUUUCUGGUCUGUAACUGACGCUGAUGUGCGAAAGCGUGGGGAUCAAACAGGAUUAGAUACCCUGGUAGUCCACGCCGUAAACGAUGAGUGCUAAGUGUUAGGGGGUUUCCGCCCCUUAGUGCUGCAGCUAACGCAUUAAGCACUCCGCCUGGGGAGUACGACCGCAAGGUUGAAACUCAAAGGAAUUGACGGGGACCCGCACAAGCGGUGGGGCAUGUGGUUUAAUUCGAAGCAACGCGAAGAACCUUACCAAAUCUUGACAUCCUUUGACAACUCUAGAGAUAGAGCCUUCCCCUUCGGGGGACAAAGUGACAGGUGGUGCAUGGUUGUCGUCAGCUCGUGUCGUGAGAUGUUGGGUUAAGUCCCGCAACGAGCGCAACCCUUAAGCUUAGUUGCCAUCAUUAAGUUGGGCACUCUAAGUUGACUGCCGGUGACAAACCGGAGGAAGGUGGGGAUGACGUCAAAUCAUCAUGCCCCUUAUGAUUUGGGCUACACACGUGCUACAAUGGACAAUACAAAGGGCAGCGAAACCGCGAGGUCAAGCAAAUCCCAUAAAGUUGUUCUCAGUUCGGAUUGUAGUCUGCAACUCGACUACAUGAAGCUGGAAUCGCUAGUAAUCGUAGAUCAGCAUGCUACGGUGAAUACGUUCCCGGGUCU